rnacentral:misc_RNA from 1 species
GUGAAUUUUAGGGCGUCUGCUUUUGCAGAGCCUGACCUCCACUUCUAACACUGUGCACUUGAUGGCAAAGAAAGGACUAGUACAACUUCAUUGUUGAAUUAGAACCCUGCUUUGCGGCUUCAUUUUAAACAUUAGUUAAAGUAUGUAACGAAAUAUCGAAACAAAAAA